UUCUUUUCUCUUUUUACCUUUUUUGGUGAAAAAAAGGAAAACGGUUCAUCAAAACAAAGACACAAAUGGACACCAAAUAUUAAUUUACAGAGAAAAGAUUAACAAUUAACAGAAAUAGAAGAAGAAAACAAACAAACAACAACAACGGAAAAGAUUCAAAUGGUAACCAUGUUACUUGUUGCUAAGGAAGAAACAAAAAAGCCAAAGGGUUAACAUUGUGAAGAAGAAGAGACAAUUUGUUUAUUUGUUUAUUUCGCCCAAUUAAUUGUCAUUCUAAUUGUGAUGGUAAUUCGAAGGAGACAAUUUUUGAUUAAUCUCAUUGGAAAAGUUGAAACCUGAAAUCAGGUCACAUGGAGAUAUUUACCCGAUCGAUAAUAUUGUAUGUUAACAUCCUCGAACACAUUUGGAUUGAAUUGAGCAGAACUCAGGACUAACUCUGGGAAUGGUGAUGAUGAUUAGGAUGAGGAUGGAGACGAUAACAUGAGAAACUUCAGGAAAUUGAGCUCAACAGCUCUAUGUUAAUCUUGUUAAUCCACUAAUUGGAUAAUCUAAUCAACUACUUACCUGGACAUUUGUUUAACUGGAAUUAUUGGAUAAUAUUGCUGUUCAGUUGUAACCUUUGGAUUUCAAUCGUUUUCAGAUUGAUUGGCAAUGAGCGAGAAUUAAGUUUUCGUAUUUCUUGUUAAUUUGUCAAUUGUGGCUAAUUGUUGAUUGCUGUUGGUUUAUUACUCGUUAAUUUGGUUCAAUUUUUGAGCGUUUGGUUUUUGUUUCUUUUAUUAAUCCUUUUGAAUUUAAUCCUCACUAUCCUUAUGAAGAUGAUGAUGAUUGGAACACAUUGAAUAACGUUGAUUGCUUUCUGUUAACUGUGGUUAUUAUUAUUACUAUUAAUUAUUAUUAUACUGUUAAUUGUUGUUAUUAUUAUCCCAAUUACUUGGAUUUUUGCUGAUUACCUUGAUAUUGUUGGUGGUUGAAUGUUGAGCUUGACAAAUCAUUGCUUUUUCUUGAACACAAUUGAUUGAAAAAUUGUCUUGAUCACAUUUAUUGUAUUAACAAUUAACUCAGAUAAAUCUGAUGAAAUUAAUUGUUUCAGAUUUUAACGAUUUUGACGAUUAAAUUGUCAUGAGAAACAUUUUAUUGAGAUUAAACUUAAUCUCAGAUGAAAUUGUUGAUAAUUGUUGAUCAUCAAUAACUUUGAACAUAUUAUCAAUAAUAUAAAUCACCUGAAAUAGAUAAUCCAUCAUUUAAAUUAACCAACAAUUAACAAGGUAACAAAUUUUAAACGAAAAACAAUCAACAAUUAGAAAACGGGUAAAUAAAUUAACGAUUAAAAGUUGAAACAAUAUUUUUCCUCAUCAAUUUAAUUUGUUGAUUACUAUUAAUGAUAUUUUCUUCACUUAUCAUAGAAUCAACAACAAUUUAAUAUUUAUCGAGAAAUUAACAACAAUUAAUAACUGGGAGUAAGAAUUGUAUCAAAAACUGUUGGGAGUUUUAUCCCUGGUUAAUAACAAGUGACUUGGAGUUUGUUGUACUGAAGAAAGAGAUGAGAAGAGAAGAAAGAGAAUUCGAAAGGAUGAUGAGGAUGAUAGAGAAGAAGAAGAUGAUGAUGAUCAGAAAGGUAACUCUCUCGAAUUCUGGGUUCAAGAACUGUUCCUGGUUCGAAGAGGAAUCGACGACGGCGCAAAAAGAAAAUUCUAUUAUCUCUUUUACUCUAAUUUUCUUACAGUUACCUUAUUGUACUUCGUUAAUUGUAAUCAAAUUUUGUUCUAAUUGUAAUUCACUUUCGAUUUCCAAUGACAAUCAAUCAGGUUAAUUGUUCACCUUUCCAAUUUUCCUAGAAUUUUAAUCGUUCGAAAGAUUUGAAAUUCUGUUUCAAUUGAUUAAUCUUCUGAUGGAAUAGAUAGAAAAUUGUUUACCAUGUAAGUUGAAUAAUCUCUGACUGAGUCUAUGGAUUUCAUUCAACUGAUUGAGUUGAUUGACCUGAAAAAAAUUCAUGAUGAAUUUCAUGAUAUCCAUACAUAUGAAUCAUAUUGUAU